UACGAGGGGGGCGAGCGUUGUUCGGAAUUAUUGGGCGUAAAGGGCUCGUAGGCGGCCUACUAAGUCAGACGUGAAAUCCCUCAGCUUAACUGGGGAACUGCGUCUGAUACUGGAUGGCUUGAGUUUGGGAGAGGGAUGCGGAAUUCCAGGUGUAGCGGUGAAAUGCGUAGAUAUCUGGAGGAACACCUGUGGCGAAAGCGGCGCACUGGACCACAACUGACGCUGAGGCGCGAAAGCUAGGGGAGCAAACAGG
rnacentral:rRNA from 1 species